rnacentral:rRNA from 1 species
GUGCCGAAAGGCCCCUUUGGGGGUGCUCGAGCGGCGAACGGGUGAGUACACGUGAGUAACCUGCCUCUGGCUUUGGGAUAACCCUCGGAAACGGGGGCUAAUACCGGAUAUGACCUGCUGCUGCAUGGUGGUGGGUGUAAAGGGUUUCCGGCUGGGGAUGGGCUCGCGGCCUAUCAGCUUGUUGGUGGGGUGAUGGCCUACCAAGGCGACGACGGGUAGCCGGCCUGAGAGGGCGACCGGUCACACUGGGACUGAGACACGGCCCAGACUCCUACGGGAGGCAGCAGUGGGGAAUAUUGCACAAUGGGCGAAAGCCUGAUGCAGCGACGCCGCGUGAGGGAUGACGGCCUUCGGGUUGUAAACCUCUUUCAGCAGGGACGAAGGGUUUCUGACGGUACCUGCAGAAGAAGCGCCGGCCAACUACGUGCCAGCAGCCGCGGUAAG